UACGAAGGGGGGCUAGCGUUGCUCGGAAUUACUGGGCGUAAAGGGCGCGUAGGCGGACAGUUAAGUCAGAGGUGAAAGCCCCAGGGCUCAACCCUGGAAUAGCCUUUGAUACUGGCUGUCUUGAGUGCGGGAGAGGUGUGUGGAACUCCGAGUGUAGAGGUGAAAUUCGUAGAUAUUCGCAAGAACACCAGUGGCGAAGGCGGCUCACUGGUCCGGUUCUGACGCUGAGGCGCGAAAAGCGUGGGGAGCAAACAGG
rnacentral:rRNA from 1 species